rnacentral:rRNA from 1 species
CCUACGGGAGGCAGCAGUGGGGAAUUUUGGACAAUGGGCGCAAGCCUGAUCCAGCCAUGCCGCGUGUGGGAAGAAGGCCUUCGGGUUGUAAACCACUUUUGUCAGGGAAGAAACGGCUCUUACUAAUAUUAGGGGCUAAUGACGGUACCUGAAGAAUAAGCACCGGCUAACUACGUGCCAGCAGCCGCGGUAAUACGUAGGGUGCAAGCGUUAAUCGGAAUUACUGGGCGUAAAGCGUGCGCAGGCGGCUUUGCAAGACAGAUGUGAAAUCCCCGGGCUCGACCUGGGAACUGCAUUUGUGACUGCAUGGCUAGAGUACGGUAGAGGGGGAUGGAAUUCCGCGUGUAGCAGUGAAAUGCGUAGAUAUGCGGAGGAACACCGAUGGCGAAGGCAAUCCCCUGGACCUGUACUGACGCUCAUGCACGAAAGCGUGGGGAGCAAACAGGAUUAGAUACCCUGGUAGUCCACGCCCUAAACGAUGUCAACUGGUUGUUGGACGGCUUGCUGUUCAGUAACGAAGCUAACGCGUGAAGUUGACCGCCUGGGGAGUACGGCCGCGAGGUUGAAACGUCAAAGGAAUUGACGG